rnacentral:tRNA from 1 species
GGAUCUGAUGGUAGAUGGUGCCGAGCUGGGUCGGUUCGGGGCCGACGGUGGGCUCGGGCCGCGGCUCGAGGCCGAGCAGGUUGGC